rnacentral:rRNA from 1 species
UAAUUGAAGAGUUUGAUCAUGGCUCAGAUUGAACGCUGGCGGCAGGCCUAACACAUGCAAGUCGAACGGUAACAUUUCUAGCUUGCUAGAAGAUGACGAGUGGCGGACGGGUGAG